UCCACAACCUCGCCUUCCCCACAUGCCGUAGCCAUUCUUCGUUGCCUCCCCAACCCCACAUCCCCCACCCGUCCCCAUUUCUCCUCUCCAACCUCUGCUCACAUCCUUCCCCCCCGCGGCUGGCCGCUACAUCGCCUCCUCCCGCACGGCAGCAUGCGCGGGGAGAAAUCAAGGUGGCGUGCAAACCGGAGAGAUGGGAGGAGGCGGGCAGGCGCAUGUUUGUGAAGGGUUCGCGACGGACUCAGAAGCUCAUCCCCGCGGGUGGUCCACCCUGCCUCCUUGCGGCUUCCUUGCCGGGGAAACCGCCACGCCACCUCUACCGCAAAUCCCACCACCGGCGACCCUCACCGUGUCCUAUUUCUCUAGUACUUCUUUUCUUGGUCUUCACUUUGCCCUUUUUCUCUAAUCUUUUUCUUGGUCUGUUGCCCUGUCGACGGCCGCACCUCGUUCGCCCCGUUGGUGGUUGCGCCUCAUUUUUAAUCACCGGCGGCUGCGCCUCAUUUUUCCAUGCCACCGGCCUGCAUCUCACGGCCCAGUCGGCAUCGGAAAGGAGCCAGGGGAGCUGGCGGUGCGAGCAGACAGUUGGGGCGGGAGGCGCUGUCUCCGUCGGGCGAAUCUAGGACGGAACCAGAAAAUACGGGACGCGGGUGGAGGUCUUCCCGUCGUUCUUUUUUUCAAUCAGUUUUGCUUUACUAUUUUUUCUUCUUUUCGAUCUGGAUUUGUUCACGGUUUCAGAGAAUCAGUCGGCAGAGAAAUCAGUGGUGUGCAGGUUCUAGAUCAAGCUGUUUCUUACUACCUUUUUCUUGAUCUCUCUUCGCGUCAUUUUCAACCGCAAGAGGAAUCGGGCGAGCGCCCUCGCUGCCGUCAGCCCCUACCCGGAAUCCCACCAUCACGAUGGAUCUAGUCCGACCCAAUCUCUCGCCGAUGGGGCACUGUGUCGUCAGGCUCCAUCCCCCGUCCGCCUCCUCCUAGCGGCAGUUUGCAUCGCAGCUUCUCGUCCUUCCCCCGCGGCUGGGCUCCAUGGCGUCAACGCAAAUCGGGCAACCUCCGCGCGAAAAUGGUGAGCGGGACGGAGUGCCUCGGUGUUGAUCCGUCCUCCCCUCACAUCCUGGGAUCGCGUGCAUCGCAGGCGUGGGAUCCCGAGCCGCGAGCGGACGACCACAAGCCCGUUGCUGGCUCCCGGCAGCGGAGGAAGAUGUGGCCAGCACGUGGAGGCCGUAGGCUCCGGGCGGUGGAGGAGGGUGGUUCCGGCGCUGGGAGGCUUCAGGAUCUGUGCGGCAGCAGAGUAGGUUGCUGGCACAGGUCGGCCUUGGGCUUCCGACGCGGUGGAGGAGCCAGAAGUCGAUAUUGAGGUCUGGCUGCUGCUUCUGCAACGCAGGCAUCUUCAUGCUCGUAGUGAUGCCAGCAGUUUUCCGAUUUGGCUUUGUAGGUUCUUUUUCGGUUUGGAUUUGCUCUUAGUGGAGUUGAUGUGCAGCAUUGGAGGCAGUCCGCAUUCGGGAUCCUUGCCUGUGAUUUUGUUCUUUAUUUUCCAUUGGUGUGUGUGGGGUAGUCAAGAGCCGACAAAAUGGUGCUUGAUUUUACAUGCUCGCUUGUGAAUAAAAAAUUUGCUCUAGGUAUCUGAUAAGGAAUCAUUUUUUCACAUGUUCCCAGUGAUUUUUUUUUUUCUAAUAUCCAGUUACCAUGCCCCACGCCCUGUCAUGUUCCGUAGCUGCAAUCCAUGUUGUUCAUUAUGCAAGAUGGUUUUGUUCCAUUUUUAUGCGAUCAUGGUACUAAAAACUGUCCUCCUGUGGCUUAUUUCCUGCUGCCCUUGCCUUGAUACUGAUACACCCCCUUUCCUUUGUUUUUCUAAUCUGCACUUUGCAUUUUCUUUCUAACCUGAAUCUGUUAAAUUCUGGGCUUUGCUGUGUACUCUACAUGGAUUUGAUGUUUCAGAUUGAUAAAAUAGAAAGCAAGUGGUGAUGAGUUACAGUUAGAUGUGCAUUUUCUAGUGUAUUGAACUUAUCAGCUUGAGUCCAUGAGGAUUGCGAGUGCUAUUUUCCCUCCCCAGUUUCGCUUUCUGCUCUAUAGUGCUCAAAGGGACACAUGUUCAGUUGGCACUGCAGGAGCUAGGUUCUUGGUUGAUUUGCUCUGGUCAAAUUGUCCUCCUGUAUGUGCUGCUAUUGAAGACUAAUUUCGUGAGAUAUAGAGCAGGUCGCCUGGUCAAAUUGUUGCUUUCCUUUGUUUGAGAGAGAAGUAGAGCGGAGAGACAGAGCUGAUUGGGAAUCAGAUAACAGGAGAGACACCUGCGGCUGCUGGAGUUGAUUUCAAUUUUUGGGUUGAAGAAGACGCUAGAGACAAGCAAAAUUAACCCCUGAUUGCUCAUGGUCUUGAUGCCCUUCUGCUGGAAACAAUAUGAAGAACACUCACCUCAGUUGUGUCCGCUUGUUUUACAGGUUCUGCUGCAAGUGUAAGAAGGGCACCCAGAGCAGGUGACUAUAGCUCCAGAUUCAGACAAUAAGGAGCCUGAGAUAGCGGACAGUAGGUAUCAUCUAAGAUCAUUCUGAUGAUGAUGUUGCAUGCGAGAAGUAAUGGGAAAGGCACCAGAUUCAGAAGGUCAAGCAGUUGCUAGAGAUGAGAAGUAAUGGGAAAGGCACCAGAUUCAGAAGGUCAAGCAGUUGCUAGAGAUGAUUAAGGGCACACACUAUGUAGAGAUUUCCAUUUGUUGAUGUAUACUGGUGUAUUGUUGAAAUAAACAAAUUUAUGUUGUAAUUAAGAACCAGUAGAACGUUCCUGACAAUUAAGUCUUAUAAGUCGUAGACCACAAGAUUAUGUAUGUGUAGCUCUUGAAAAACACAAAUAGACAUGGCCUCUCACAAGUUUGAUUUA